GCUGGGCAGAUAGCUCAGUUGGUAGAACAUGAGCCCCUUAAUCUCAGAGUUGUGGGUUCAAGCCCCAUGUUGAGCG
rnacentral:tRNA from 1 species